rnacentral:rRNA from 1 species
GCGCCAGACUCCUACGGGAGGCAGCAGUGGGGAAUAUUGCACAAUGGGGGAAACCCUGAUGCAGCGACGCCGCGUGAGUGAAGAAGUAAUUCGUUAUGUAAAGCUCUAUCAGCAGGGAAGAAAAUGACGGUACCUGAGUAAGAAGCCCCGGCUAACUACGUGCCAGCAGCCGCGGUAAUACGUAGGGGGCAAGCGUUAUCCGGAUUUACUGGGUGUAAAGGGAGCGUAGACGGCAGUGCAAGUCUGGAGUGAAAGGCGGGGGCUCAACCCCGGGACUGCUCUGGGAACUGUGCGGCUGGAGUGCGGGAGGGGCAGGCGGAAUUCCUGGUGCAGCGGUGAAAUGCGUAGAUAUUAGGAGGAACACCAGUGGCGAAGGCGGCCUGCUGGACGAUGACUGACGUUGAGGCUCGAAAGCGUGGGGAGCAAACAGGAUUAGAUACCCCAGUACCG